GAUAUCUUGGAGUUGUCUACAGGAGGAGAACAAAUCUCGUGCCCAGAGAUUUCUAAUCAAAAUUCUUCUACUGGAGAGGUGCCUGCCUAAAAUGAACUGGGGUGGAUGGUAGAACCAGAGCAGCCACAGAAGCAUGGAUAUCCCAGAUGAGAAGAUGCCCGUGCCUGUCCCCGUUCAAGUGGUCUGAGGCAUUUCUGUUGUGUAGGUGGGUGUCCAUGUGUAAAUUAAAGACCCAAACCAUGCACUGAAAGGCUUACAGCCCACUGAAACAUGACUAUUAAUCAGAUUAAAGUUAAGCAUAGGAGACACUGAAUAAGUAGUGAGACCCGUGACGUUAGCUGUGGAUACAAGAAAGGGGAAGUGUGAGUAUCAGCUGAUGAUAAAAACAGAAUUAUCAGGACCUGUUGUCUGCAGUCAUUUGGAAGCUCUAAAUUGUGUUCAUGGAUGAAAAGCAGUGUGAAAAAUUCCCUCUUGUUCAUUACUCACAGGGGAGGAAGUUUUGCAAAGAUUGCCAAAACCUACAUUAGAAAACUUGAUGUACCCUAACAUAAGUAAAAAGCUCAAUUUGAUGUUUAUAGUUCACUAAUCUGUAAUGAUUUCCACAGCAAACAGUGGUAUCAAAAGUACAAGGCUAUGAUGAAAGGUACGAAAGAGCAAAUUUCAUAUUGAUAAUGAGUAUACUGAACCCAAGAGACAAAGGAGGGCGGACUGCUUUCUCUUUAAAGCAAUGGAAAUUACUUGAUAGCCAUGUAAAAAUAAAAUGAUCAGUACUGUCAGUGUCUCUGUGAUUAGAUGCUGAGGUUGGUCAGCGAUUGUCAUUGGAUGAGAUUCUGGAAUAAGCAUAGUAAAAUCACAUAGACUUGGCCAUGCAUUUCUUUCUGCACUGCUGUGCAAAAAGUAAAUGUGCACAGUUGCUUCCUUUUUUCUUCUGUUGCUUGUGCAGUGUGAUAUAUAAAUUUCCCAUGUUCCUGAUUACUACUGCCAGCUGGUAGAGUUAAUUUUGCAGUGAAGGUAGUUUAUAGUAUAGGGUUCGCAUUUUCUUGAUGGUUCAUGACAGAGGUUGUUGUGCAGCUAACACACAUUUCUUUCAACAACUGGAUGCAAGAAUGUACUCAUGGAACUUCCUCUCUGUCCCCUCAGGAGAAUGUGAAGCUGAAUCUUUCUUCCUCUUAAUUUGGCUUUUCUAUUUUUCACAUAUAACUUGUGUGCUGGGGCUAGCAAUGGACUUAGUAAUUUCAGUGUACAAAUGCUGUUUACUUGAAAAUGAAGAUCUGCCAAAGUUUCUCCCUUGCAUUAUUGUGAUCCAUUAAAUCUGUUUGAAUCUGGGUUGUUUUUUUAAAAAAUUGCUAUUUGCUAUUGAAUAUGUAUUUUAAAAGAUCAUCAAGCCAAUAUUCUGCUGAAGUUGUCUUUCUUACAUCUAGAAACCUCUACCCAAAUAAGCAAGAGCUAAAGAUCUCUCAGAGAACUGAAUAACAUUCAGAUAGUUAAUGCCUUAAAUACUAUUAACCGGUAUCCCUUGAAGGAUAUUUUGUCCUUGUUAAACACUGACACAUAGAUUAUCUGGUUUAAGAUAAUUGAAUGAAGACUGUAUGAAUUAUAAGAAAUAAAACAACUACGGUGGGAAAAUUAUUGUUCUUGUUUUAUUUUGUCAUCUAAACUACCCCCAUUUUGGGUUGUCUCUUAGAGCAGAGUUGGCCCACAUCAAGUUAAUGUUGCUCACAAGAGGACACGAGGAAGGUGCUGCACUGGAGCAUCAGUCCAGUGGUGCAGAGUCUCACUAUACUGAUGUUCCACUUCUUCCCCACUGCAGCUCAUACGGGCUCAGCCAACUUUGUACUUCAAGAGAGUUUUACUAAAAAAAGGUUAAUAAAGAUCAGAUUAUGUUUUUCUGGGGGAAUUAGUUUAAAAUAUUUAAGCAUUACAAAGGUUUCUGACCUAAAUGAACAAUGUAAGAGAACCAGGGGUCUACUUUACCUUUGGCUUUUUUUCCACCUGGAGAAGACUCAGCGUAAUAGUUAAAACUCACUAUAACCCGUCUCUCAGAGGUCUCAUUCAGAAAUUUAUCUUCCUCAUCUUGGCAUUUAAAUCUGACCACUACUUCCCAAGGAAUUUAAAAGAGAAAUGUUAAAAUGUUUAAGUGCAUACAGAUGCCAAAUUGCUCUUCUGAAUUAUAUUCAACAACCUUAAUGGAAAAUAUAAUCCUGAGUUAGAAAUCAGGAAGAUCAGGGUUCAUUGUUAUUAUUUUUUAAAUCUAUUUCCUUAAAGUUGUUGAAAGGUAUAACCUUGAAAAAUUCACUCUAAAGUGAAUCUGGAAGAAUUGGAAAAGGAGAAUUGUUGUGGGAUUCUUUUGGGGGGGGGUGGUUUUUGUUUGUUUGUUUCUUGACCAUAUGGUCUAAAACAAAAGAAAACAAUUCAGAUAAAAAUAAAGAAAAUACCUUUUUUCUCCAAAGUGGAAGGAUGUCUGAAAAGCACUCGUGCAAAUUCAUGGUGGAGGCCAUUAAUACAGUAACAAUUCAGAUGCAUCUUCUGCGUCAAGAACCCUUGGAUCCGUGGCUGUUGCAGCUCUCUUUCUUGGGAGACCCAGUGAAGGGUGGCCUUAAUCUGAUGUACAGUAGUUAAUGAGGUAACCAGAAAUGACUUGUUUGUUGUCAAAAGAAAUGUUCCUAGAGGAAAAAGAUGAGUACUAUUGGCUCAGUAUUAACCACAGUACUCUGGACCCACUUCUUUCCACUGUGCUGUGUCUGAACAAUGUUUACGGGACUGGACCAAGCCAUGAUGUCACUCAUGUUUCGAAGGUGUAGGUGAAGGCAAAAGCAGCCUAGCUGUUGAGAUGAGGUGGUACAACCUCCCUUCUCCUUCUGAGGAGGUGUCACCCUUUGAAGACUGCAGUUUGGUUUGAUUUAUCCAAAACAUUUCUAUUCUAUUUCUGUCUGAAGUCGCUUUGGAUGCAAAGCAAAAGGUGUUUUUCUGACUGAACAGGUUUUGUUGAUAUACGCACUGGGGGCUGGAGAGAAUGCAGAGAUAAGCAUACAGCAGCCGAAUUGUGUAAAUGAGCAGUUGUGACCCUGAGUUGUUCCAGUAGUUCUGUGAUUUAAUACUCUCUGCUUCAAGUGCGAUUUACUGCACAGUCUGCAUCCGCAGAGUCUACAGCGCAGAAUUUCGUUGUGGUAGAUGCAUCUAUUAAAUGGCUUCCAGCUUCCUUUAUGCAUUAUUCCAAGAGGGGAAAAUAUAUAGAAUGGGAGGCAAGAAAUGUUUUAUUGCAAGGUAUAAAGAAAGGAGGAUUAAAAAACUAGAAAGAAAGAAAUUGGCAAUUGCUAGUUGGCUGUUCAUGUUAAUCCUCUUUAACACCCACGUGACUUCAGCUGGAAAGCCUCUCACAUUUUUCAAUCUGUUGUGGAGCACCGAGCUUAGUGACAGUUAUAAGAACCUUUAAAAAUCUUUAAGCAGUUUGUAUCCCCUCUCAGUGUCACUCUGUGCCUUGGCAGGCCGGCACUGCUCGGAGACCUAGAGCUGAAUGAUAAGUACAAGCCCCAUUUCUAUGUAUAGUCUGUUGUGCCAUGGCUAGUGGUUCAAAGUGACAUGUCAGACACUGAUAUGUGGAUUUCAAUAAAAAAUUUUGGAAGAGGGUUUAAGCAGGAUUUUUAUUUUCAAAGUGCAAUUUGAUAAUUUUUAGUGUGUGCCAUAAAAACACACCCUGGAACUCCCUGAUUUCAGAGGUAUUUCAGAACUGCCUGAGAGCAUAAUUAUGAAUGCUUUCCUUCUUGAAUGACCAUACAGGUAAUAAAUAAAAAAGGCAGAGUACAAUAGAUCAUUUUUGUCUGUUGCAUUGUCAAGGCCAUGGCUCAUAUAUCAUUUGCAGUACUUAUCCAGGUUGAUUUUGAUACUGCAAGAAGCUCAGUUUUGCUGCCACGUAUGCUGAGACCUACAGUCACAGGGUUAUUUUUGUUGUUUUUUUCUCUACUCGCAGAUCUCUUACAUGGAUUAUCAUGAGAUAUAGACUAACUGAGAGCAAUUUUACAAAUAAUUCUGGCAUAUGUGGCUUGCCAGUGUGGAGAAACUAUCAUAAUUUUUUCAGACCUUAAAAUGUAAUGUGUACUCUUGGCCAUUCAGAAGAAAUAUCAAACAACAAGAAAAUGGUCAGGCUUAUGGUGUUUGGUUUUUUUGUUUGUUUGUUUUUCCAGCAUUAAUUUUUUCUGUGUCAUCUAAGCUUGAGAACUGAAUAGCAGAGCUGACUGUUUGAAGUGCUGCUGGUAUGCUGAACUGCAGUGGAGCUGAUUUUUCUGUUUGGUAGUUUCAUGCUGUCUGUAUUUUGCUGAAAUUUCAAACAUGGUGAUACUGAUGAACUUUACUAAUGAUCCCUUUCAUAUGGUAAGAAAUGAGAUAUGUCACAGCCUGGAAGCACCGAACAAGUCAUUUAGCUGUUUGCAGAAGUCAUCCUUUAUGAGAGCUUGGAUAUUGCUGUGUGAAUGCUUCAGUUACUUUGGAUCCUGAUAUACACAGUAAACUUACAGAAAUUAAAUGAGGGAUAAAUCAGAGACGAUAUAUCUUAAAAGGUCUCUCUUGCAUAGUGAUUGUGUAUAUGUCAUAAAUGCAUAUGUGGAUCUGUUUUGUCAUACAAGGUAUUAUUCUUAAAUCAAAUUUUGAUUCAUUUACUCUUGCAGAGUCUUUCUCCUACUUGGUUUCCAGGUCCUAUCUUGUAUUAAUGAGCACAGCGGCGAUUUUAACGCAGUGCUUUAUAAACAUAAAUGUUGCCAGUAUGGUUUCAUGCACAGCUUCUUUGUUAACUCAGAAGGUCAUUGUAAAACUCAUGUAUGCAUGUAAAUUAAAAACAAAUGGAUUGUAUGAUUUUAAAAUGACGUGGUGAGGAUAAUUAAAAAUGAGACGUCACCUACAGAGGGAAAGCCCUUAGGGGACGUGACCCCCUACAAAUCUGGGCACCUGCCCCACAGAUCCUACCCUACCGGCCCUAAAGUUCUGAUGGCAGGUAGCACAGCUCACUGGGAAUGCUGAAUAGGAUUUGAAAUGAUUUUUUUUUAAAUGAAGUAACAGUGGAGCAUUGUAUGACUGCACUUAUAUAAACCUUCCACCAGGUGAUAUUUGAAAGGUAAAACCUAGAAAGGGACAAUGUAUGAAUGGAAGCAGCCAGGCAGGCUGGGGGAGUGGCCAUCAGUUUAUGCACACAACUGCAUUUUCAACAUAAUUAGCUGUCUAAUUGAGCAUUAUAAUUUAACUGACACAUUUAAACAUGUAAUUUAUUUGAAUGCACGCUGCUUGUAAUCUGUUUAUAAUGUUUUCCUCUUCAGGAUGGUGUCAGACUCUAGAGGAUAAAAAUAUCUUUCGGACGAACAGAAAAGUAACCAAAAUGAAUACAUCAAAGAGCCCCAAAUGUGAGCAAAUUUCUACAAUUCUGGAUUUGAAGAGGAGUUGGGUAGCAGAAAUGGCAUGCAGGGGCAGAUUCUGGACCUGAAGCUGAUGGGCUCUGCCACAAGUAAUCACACAGAUACAGGUUUUUCUUCUGCACUGAUGAUGCUGGGGUUGUGCUGAUGCCUGCCUGCCUGCCUGCCAUUUUGGUGCUAUUUCUUGCAGUCUGUACAGCAAUGCUUUGGGUAUGACUGGCUCUCUUCGUAUCUGAACAGGAACAAAGCCAUAUAUUCCCUAGGCUCUGUUAAAAUUCAGAGACCAGCCUGUGAACUGGUUAGAGAGGAAGGAGCCAAAAGUCCUUUCAUCUACUCUUGCAUACUCCCCGAUGAGCUGAAAUAUGCAGUUUACUAUGCACCUGGAUGUUUAUUUUCAAGGAGAAAAACAAACUAAUACAUAUUUAUUUUUGUUCCCACAGUAUUAUUUUUUACUUUCAGGCUAUAUUUGCUGAACAAAAUAGUUGCAGGUUUCCUUUUAACCUAAUAAACUUUUGUACUGUUGCACCUCAUUAUAUAUUUUGUGGCAUUGGGUUUUGAAUCUGCUGCUUCAAUUACAGAAACUGCCAACAGACGUGAAAAUCCAGAAGACAGAGGCUGAAGCGUUCCUGCCUUUUAGCUUUGGAAUUACUUUUGCAUACUCUGACAGUUUUCCCUUAUAAACGAGGUUGGUGAUAGCUACAGCUAUGGAAUGCAAGAAAACUGAUGCAAACUUUGCCACCAGAAUUAAGAAGAAAACAUUUUUUUCAAACCAGAAGUUGGCGCAAUUCCUGUUUUUCUGUCUUCACCUUCCUCCCUGCUCUCCCAGGUCUGUUACUUAUUAUCAGAAGUGGGGAAGAGGAAGUAUAUGCAAGGUCACAUAAGAGGAAAUACAAAUGUGUGUGUGUUUUGCCCUGAGGAGUUGCAGCUUCCUUUCUGAGAAGACAUAGUAGGAUUUUGUGUCGUUUCAGUUUAUUGUACUCAGAAAAGGAUAAGAGUUGAUGUAAAAGGUUUUACCCUUGGUGUAUGUAAGGCUAGGAAUUUUAGUCUUGGCCUUUAGCCUAAGUGAUUGAAAAUGCAUUUGUAUUAUUUGUUUAACUGACCAGAAAAUGCACCGAGUGGAUGAUGCAUUGGACUGUGUAGAGUGGGAAGAUAAAUUCGUUUUCAGAUUAAAAAAGGUGGAUUCGCUUAUGAGGAGAUCCUGAAGUUUAAAGAGAUGUUUUCUGUAUAUGUGGAUAGGUUAGGCUGAGGUAGGAUAAUCUCAACAGAGAAAAUUAAAACGGUGUGUAAAAGCUCUCCAAAAUCUUGGAGAGACUCACCAAUCACUGUGGUGGUACUGUGUUGGUGCAUUGGUUCCCAAAUACCCAGUUGCAUGUGUGUCAUGCAGAAGACUGGAGACUCGGAACUCAUCCAGAAAAACAGGACUGGAGGAGAUUAAAAGAGAGUUAGGAAGACAAAUGGUUUCUCAGAGCAUCAUUUCUCAUUUCCAGGUCUCUGACAGAGCAAUUGUCAAGAGUCUGGACUCCUAUUUUGUCACCCAGUGUGUUCAGAAUAACUUUUGUCUUGGGAAGUAAUAUUAGAAAUAUAAAGCCAAACACAUUCUGUUAAGUAAAAUUAUUUACUACUUUGACCUUUCAGUCCUUUGUGCCGUGGUUCACAAAGGUAUCCUCCAUUCUUUACAGCUUACCCAGGCUGUCUGUACAAGGAGGACAGUCCAUCAAAGCUACUCUUUUCCAGCAUCAGGAUCUGUUGGCACUUUUUUGGUGUUUUGACUGUUAGUGCCUCUUCUGCUUUUUUUUUUGUGGUGAUAAAGGAGCAGUGAAGCCUUUUCCAUUUGAAAAAGAACCUGCUGAGCUUAGGGCACACCCCUUAUUUGCCAUUACCAAGAGAAUGACCCUUGCAAGCCAGCUGCUCUAAUUGUGUGCUCGCAGCUCAGGCAAAAAAUGCUCUAAGAAUUUACGUUUUUUAAGAGUUGGUAUUGAUAAUGAGGCAUAUUAAAAAAUUCAAAUUAUCUUUUAUUAAUGAGUAAGGAUGGUGCCUAUAGAAGAAUCACAGGGAAGACGAAACAGUGAAGGGCAUGGAUAGUUUAUGAUGGAGCUACAAGGAUCUACAUGCUAUGAGUGUCAAGGUCUGAACCCAGGAUUUUAGUCCUAAUUCACUAACCUUUCACCCUGGUAGCUCAGUUUCCUUAGAUAAUGAGGCCACUGGAUGGAGAGGAAGAAGUCUGCCACAUGUGGUUUAAGUUAGUGUGGUUGAGUCUGCACUGGAAUAGAUAUGGCUGCCUCCAGACUAUGUUAAGAAAUGGCAGGUGCCCUGGUAAUGGCUCACUGAGGUUUCUGUUUGACUGUGCACUAGUGCAGAUGCACAAGUGUUAUAGUUGGAAACAACGACAUUAUACACUUCACUCAUAAGAGAGAAACAGAAAUGUAUUUACUGAUUCAAUAUAGAUAUAAUGUAGUGAUUUGAGAGUGACUUAACAAGAUUUGAGAUGGCUGUAUGCACUUGAUUAUUUACUGCAUAGAUGUUAGGGUUAAAAACACGCAUACAGGAGACCCUCCCGUUGAGUCACAAUGUUCAAAGUGGAACCCCUUGCUUUCUAAAAUCCUUGAACCAAAGAGGGAAGGAGCUUAAGUGCAGCUGGAUCCACUCUUAGUCCCAGGCUUGGUCAAUAGUUUAUGCCUAAGGGACUGUAUGUGCACAAUCAAUCUAAAAUGUGAUUUUGGCAAAGCUAACAAAGCUUACACAGUGAACCUAAGAUAUAAUCUUAAUGAAGCUAGCUAGACUUAAAAGAAACUAUUAGUCACACACCCAGGAUCUGCAUUGGCAAGGCGUCUUGUUAUCAAGGUGUAAGGGAUCUCUGCAUGACCUCGAGAGGCAUCCCUACGUGAUGUGAGACUCUAUCUUGCAGCCCCACCGUUGUGCAGGAGAGCUCAAGGAGCUCUUGGACUGCUCAUUAUUUAUGGAGUAAGAUAAAUGUAUUCACAGUCAUACUUUGUUUUUAGGGGUCUUAGCUGUUGAACCAGGUGUCUGCUAUCAGUUCUUUCAUUCUCCCAGUGUGAGACUUGUGGUUGUUAAUCUGUGAGAGUGCUAUCAGUACUGUUGCUCACUGUCUUCCUGUGCAAGACUGGGCUGGAGGAGGAAGUUGGGAGAAAAAAGUCAAGGAGAGAACAUCAUCACAAUGAGUCUGGCUUAGAGCUGGUUGGUCAAUUCCUCCUGAAAUGAGCAACGCUGAAAUAGCCUGAGGGGCAAGCAGGACAAUAAAAUAGCCCUGAGAUAAGCUAUUUGUUUGCUUGAUAGAGGUUUAAUAAGCUAUCUGCAGUCACGAUGGAUGCUGAAAUCAAAGAAUGAAUGAGACUUUGUUCACGGGGAUUCGUUCUUUGCCUUGGGAGGUGGCAUUGAAAAGUAUGGAAAAAUAAGAGAAAUUUCUGAAUAGCUCUACUUCGGCUCAGAAUUUAUAGAGUGUACUUAAAGUGAGAGAAAAGGUGAGAAAUGAAAAAGGAAAAUGAAAGUAAAGGAGCAACAAAUGGCGAAAUACCCCAGGCAUACCAGACUUGUUACUGUAGUGUAUGAGGAUGUGUCCUUAAAUCUAUGUGGUUUUCAGAGAGCCAAAUUGGGAUACUGUACUUUCCCUAGAUUCUCUGAAGGAAUUUAAUAUACUGAAGUUAAUUAUUAGUAAAUUAUAUCUUCAAAUGAUUGUCUCGAUCUCUCUGCUUAGACUAUCUUCUUGUCAAAUAAAUAUUUAUUUCAACUUUUUAAAAUUAAGAGUAAAGAAGUCUGCAUUAUGUAACCUAGACAAAAAUUGAUACAGGAGGAGGCCAAACUUCCCCCCGCUUAAGUUUCUGUGAUACUUAAGUAUUCAUGUGAUUUACAGUAGAGCAUUGUUCAGUACCUUCUUCUAGUCCUACCUGGAUGGGCAGUACUUCUGAAGAGUAUAUUGUGAAUGUGGAAAAGAGGAACUCCACUUUCAAAGAAGAAACAGAAGCUGACCUCAGCACUAAGAUGCUCUUCUCUAUUGAAAUGUAGGAAUAAUAUAUGGAGCAGCACUAGUACAAACUGCUGAACUGCCUUGGCAGCACUCCAAACGACUGCUCUUUCUGAUGGAGUUUUUAAUACUUCAAGAAGACAUAGUGUGCACAUUUAGAUGCCAAUAAAACAAUUCCCUGUAGAAUCCAUAGGCCACAUUUCAUUGCUAAAUUAUGAUGCCAGUGUGAAUGAUUGACCACCAAUCGCCAGUGAAGCAUUUCUGCACACCCACGUUGAGUAGUGCUUUUGCUUUUUCUCUGUUUUAAUCCCUCCUUUUGGUAAAUUCUGUCACUGCUUCAGCCCUUGACUGAGAAGAUUUUGUCCAUCUCUAAAGGGACGUGUUGUGCCAUUGCUGCUGAUGUUAAAGAAGUGCUAACUACCUGACAAUUUAUUGACUGGAGCCUGACCUUGUUGUGUUCAUGAGCUGCAAGAUGCUGUGGCCAGGACUUGGUUGGUCUCCAGACAAAGAGCUGUAUUAAAUGAACCAGAGGAGAAAUCCACAGAUGCAAUUCUAUUGCUGCAUCUGGCAAUUGAGAGAGGAAUGAGAAGGGAACUAAAAAUCCCAUUACAAUUAUUCUUGGGUGCUUGGGUAAGAGUUUUCUGUUUCAGAAAAAUCAAAUAACUUAGACUACAUGAAGCAAAGAUUCAAAGUUGCAUGCAAGAGGAGGGGAAUGAGCUCAUUAAACUUGACAAGAAAGAAGAGUGGCCUUCUUUUGGGGUGAGUUUGAGGAAUUGGAGUUCAUAUUAGGAAAAGUGAUCUGAAAGAUUUCCCUGUGGAGUGGUCAGUACGUUGAAAUUUUGCUCAAGUUUUUGAAAACUCCCCUUUCCAAGAUUUUGUAUAGAUUAUUUUAAUAACAGGACUCAGUGGCUGGAUUUCGUUGCCACGCCUGUGAUUUGGGAUAGGUAUCAUUAACUCAUUAAAAGGAUUUCAUAGAAAAUUUGACUCAUCAUGGGAGAAUGUGAUUCGCAUGAAGUACAGGACCUGGCCAAAUAGAGGAGGAAGGUAAGUGCCCCAGCAUCCUAUUUCUUGUGUAUAUAAUACAGGAUAAAUUGUAUGAAAAAUGCAGUGAAAGCAAAUAGGGAUUAGUUAAACAGCCAAGUCUCAGUAUGAAAAUCUAAGCAACUCUUACACGAUUUCUUCACAUUAUAAGCUUUUUUACCUCGUGUGAAGAAUUCUCAUCAAGAAAAUGGAGAAAUGAAGUAGGAAAGAAAACCUUUUUUUGUGAUUAUUACCUGUCUUUAUUUUUUAGAAAUCCUAAUUUUUUCAGAAGCACCAAUUAAUUUUGUUGACACGCUCAGCCUAGGUUAAGUUAUCUCAAGUAAAAUCUCAGCUCCCCGAAGCCAACAAUAAACUUGUAUUUCUGCCAGGAAUCUGUGCAUUUUUGACAGAAAUUUACCACAAAGUCUUGAUUAUUGAAAGCCAUGGGAUAUCUCAGUGUGCACAUGCAAAAGAUGAGGAAGAAUAACAUAGAGACUCUGAAAGUUGUUGUCUCAUUCUGCUGAGAAGAAAUGCAACCAUAGAAAAAUUAAGAAUAAUAAUUACAUACAGCAUUGCUUAGGCUCUAAUUGCAUAGAUUCCAAAUAUGAAAAGUGAGAUGGUAUAAAGCACAAUCCUUUAUCCAUGUAUGUAGGAUUUCAGUAAAAAUUGGCUUUUUUCAUGUGAAGUUUUCUUACUAUGCACUAGGCAUUAAUGAUUUUUGUCCAUUUGAAAAAAAAAAAAUCAUUAAAACGUCCAACUGUUCAGUUGGAAUUAUCAUGGUUGCAGCUGGAAAUAAAGCUCUAGUAGUGAAAAAUACAGGAAGGAUUUCUGAAAAGCUUUGUUUUUACUUUUCUAGCUGAAAAUUGAUAGGCAGAUAUCAGCUAAUUGAAUCCUUCGAGUUGGAAGGGACCUUUAAAGGUCAUGUAGCCCAGCUCCCCUGCAACAAACAGGGACACCUACAGCUACAUCAGGUUGCUCAGAGCCUGG